rnacentral:rRNA from 1 species
UGACUUAGCGGCGGACGGGUGAGUAACGCGUGGGCAACCUGCCUUACACAGGGGGAUAACAAUUAGAAAUGAUUGCUAAUACCGCAUAAGACCCCAGUACCGCAUGGUACAGAGGUAAAAACUGAGGUGGUGUAAGAUGGGCCCGCGUCUGAUUAGGUAGUUGGUGGGGUAGAAGCCUACCAAGCCGACGAUCAGUAGCCGACCUGAGAGGGCGACCGGCCACAUUGGGACUGAGACACGGCCCAAACUCCUACGGAAGGCAGCAG